UUUUGCUAAAAAGCUUCAGUUUGACAGCGAUCCACUCCUCGAGCUUGUGGCGAUUGAGGGACUGUGGGGGGUUAGCUGUCAUGUUGCUGAAGGCUGCGUGGCUUCUCGGGGUGGACUGGACAGUCAAGAUAUUCUGCUCCAAUAGUGCCUUCACAACCUUUUUGACAUCCUCGUCAUCAGACUUUCUUGAGUCACACGGAAUGUUACGACCCUUGCCUCCGUGAGAGCUCUCCCAAGUCAGCUGAUGUACUAGGUCCGGUGAGAGGGUCGCCAGCUGGAUCUGAAUUCGUAAAGCCUCCAGUGCAUACUUUGAUCUCCUACCAGCAUGGAAAUGGACCUUCCAGCAUCGCGGUAAACUCCAUGGCCAGAGAUGCUGUGUGGCACAAGACUCGGGCAUAAUUGUACACUCGAUCCUGACAGUCUGGAAGAGGAAGACCCAAUACUGCCUCCGACACAACAGUAAACUUCUCAACAAUAUUUGUCGCUACAUCACACAAGUUGGAGGUUGUGAAAGGGAAGUCACCAUCAGGGUUGUCGAUCCCUAGUUCAACACAGGCUGCUGCAACAAGAUGACCCUUGAAUACUGUCAUUAGAGCAUCAAAGGCGGCGUGCAUAUCCUUCUUGGGGUCCUUGGCAUAUGAGAGACGUCCGAUUCGGAGGAACAGGUGACUUAAGGUGCCAAAAUUCGAGGAGCUGACCUUGAAGAGAUUCUUCCACACACUCUGUUUUGGAACACAACGGCAUGCCAGUCCUCUGUCACUGGCUCAAGUAGCUCGAGUUUCUGCCUGGGUGUGUCUCCAUCAGCCAUGUGCCUGCGUCCCGAGGGCACUGUGUGCGCCAUAUACCAAUAUAUUCCACUUAAUGCACAUCUUCAUAUGUAC